AAUAAAGUGCCUGAUAAAAAGGAUUAUUCUGAUAGAAUAAAUUAUGUAAUAUUUUACCUUUAUUA
rnacentral:tRNA from 1 species